CAAUGGGGGAAACCCUGACCGAGCAACGCCGCGUGAAUGAUGACGGCCUUCGGGUUGUAAAAUUCUGUGGCGAGGAACGAAUGGCAAGGAGAGGAAAUGCUCUUUGUUUGACGGUACCUCGCUAGAAAGCCACGGCUAACUACGUGCCAGCAGCCGCGGUAAUACGUAGGUGGCAAGCGUUAUCCGGAAUUAUUGGGCGUAAAGAGUGAGCAGGCGGUUUUUUAAGUCUGAAGUCAAAUCCUGUGGCUCAACCACAGUUCGCUUUGGAAACUGAAGAACUAGAGUGCGGGAGAGGUAAGCGGAAUUCCAUAUGUAGCGGUGAAAUGCACAGAUAUAUGGAGGAACACCGGUGGCGAAGGCGGCUUACCAGCCCGAUACUGACGCUCAGUCACGAAAGCGUGGGGAGCAAAUAGGCUUAGAUACCCUAGUAGUCCACGCCGUAAACGUUGAGGACCUGAUGCCGGAGUAUUUCGGUGUCGUAGCUAACGCGUUAAGUCCUCCGCCUGGGUACUACGUUCGCAAGAAUAAAACUUAAAGGAAUUGACGGGGGCCCGCACAAGCAGUGGAGCAUGUGGUUUAAUUCGUCGCUACGCGAAAAACCUUACCAGGGUUUGACAUCCCGCUAAAAGUCUUGGAAACAAGAUCAUAGUUAUAGCGGUGAAAGGUGGUGCAUGGUUGUCGUCAGCUCGUGUCGUGAGAUGUUGGGUUAAGUCCCCUAACGAGCGCAACCCUUGUCUCUAUUUGCCAUCAUUAAGUUGGGAACUAUAGAGAGACUGCCGGUGCAAACCGGAGGAAGAUGGGGAUGACGUCAAAUCAUCAUGCCCCUUAUGCCCUGGGCCACACACGUGCUACAAUGGCCGGUACAGAGAGAAGCAAUCCCGUGAGGAGGAGCAAAUCUCACAAAGCCGGUCUCAGUUCGGAUUGGAGUCUGCAACUCGACUCCAUGAAGCUGGAAUUGCUAGUAAUCGCAGAUCAGCAUUGCUGCGGUGAAUACGUUCCCGGGCCUUGUACACACUGCCCGUCACACCAUGAGAGUCGGCAAUACUCGAAGUCGUUAUCUUAACCCGCAAGGGAGGGAGGCGCCUAAGGUAGGGCUGAUGAUUGGGGUUAAGUCGUAACAAGGUAUCCCUACGGGAACGUGGGGAUG
rnacentral:rRNA from 1 species